rnacentral:lncRNA from 1 species
AUUCAUGGAGAAAGAAUUUUGACUCCGGCCUGUCACUCGGCCUCCAGUUCCACCCUCAUCCUGUUACUCUCAGAUGCUCUCCUGCCUUUCCACACAUCUGCUUUCCAGUCUCCUGUAAUCUCCACCUGGCACCUGACACCUUUUGAAAUCAAUUCACUCAAGAUUCUACCCACAAGAGUUGAUCAUCCGGUUCUUCCAGAUGGAAACCAGCUUGCCCAGAGACUCUAUCAGGAUGGGAGAUCGCAUAUUCCCGAGCCCGGUUACUCAUUUAACACAGCUUCGCAAGAGCUGGAAUCCUUCUGGUUGUGUCCAUUUCUUUGUCCAGAGCAACGCAUGAAUGAUUAUCCGGAUGUUUCAGGGGAGAGUGGAACUGGGGCAAUGAGGACGAAUCAAGAUGUCACCACACAUCUGAAAACUGGCCUCCAGCCUUCUGUGGGAUUUUCUCAACAGGAGGAGACAUGA